rnacentral:rRNA from 1 species
UACGGAGGGCGCAAGCGUUGUCCGGAAUCAUUGGGCGUAAAGCGCGUGUAGGCGGCCCGAUAAGUCCGCUGUGAAAGUCCAGGGCUCAACCCUGGGAUGCCGGUGGAUACUGUCGGGCUCGAGUCCGGAAGAGGCGAGUGGGAAUUCCUGGUGUAGCGGUGAAAUGCGCAGAUAUCAGGAGGAACACCAAUGGCGAAGGCAGCUCGCUGGGACGUGACUGACGCUGAGACGCGAAAGCGUGGGGAGCAAACAGG